UACGGAGGGCGCAAGCGUUAUCCGGAAUUAUUGGGCGUAAAGAGCUCGUAGGCGGUUUGUCGCGUCUGCCGUGAAAGUCCGGGGCUUAACUCCGGAUCUGCGGUGGGUACGGGCAGACUAGAGUGAUGUAGGGGAGACUGGAAUUCCUGGUGUAGCGGUGAAAUGCGCAGAUAUCAGGAGGAACACCGGUGGCGAAGGCGGGUCUCUGGGCCGCUACUGACGCUGAGGAGCGAAAGCGUGGGGAGCGAACAGG
rnacentral:rRNA from 1 species